rnacentral:rRNA from 1 species
AUGGGGAAGGCCCUGAACCUCCAGAUCAUGGGAAGUGCCAUCUCGGGGGAGGGCUUCUUUUGCCUACAGUUCGAGGAGGACGAGGAGUUGGUCGAAGGUGCGGAUCUGAAGCCAGACAAUUCAGCCAUCAUCUCAGCGGAUCCGGGCCUGCUCACGCCCCGUGUCCUCAAACAAGAGCUUAAGCAUAUGGUCGCCGGGGAUUGGGACUGGCAGGUGGCCCAGGUUGGGGACAAUGACUUCUCAGUUGUCUUCCCCUCGGCUGAUCUGCUCCAUAUGGCCAAAUCCAGCGGCAAACUUUUCCUCUCUAUCAAUGACAUAACCGCUCGGGUGCGGGAGUCUCUGUAUGAGGAGGUGGAGCCUAUAUGCAUGCCAGAGACGUGGGUUCGGCUCCAUGGCAUCCCCAGGAAACAUCGCAGUGUGGAGCGUCUGAUGGAAGGCCUUAAGAUGCUGGGUCGUCCCAUUGUUGUGGAUGAGCUAUCCCUCAUAAGGCUGGGGCCAGUGAGGAUGAAGCUAGCAUGCAAGUCGCCUGACAAGCUCAAUGGCUUCGUCGAGGUGUGGUUCAACGGGGAGGGCUACCAAAUCAAGGUAGAGGUGGAACGACUACCAAAAAGAACUGGGAAGGCGGCCCGAGGGGAGCUGGCCCAUCUGACAAGAAUCCCCCUCCCCCUCCCUCAGAUCAGUCGGGGCGCCCGCGGGAUGCAGCCUCUGGCCCCAAUUUGGCUGGGGGUGGUAUUGUGCCAUCCAAGCAGCGGGCAGGCGGUACGCGCGGAGCGGUAG